CGCGUAGGCGGGGGAUUAAGUGAGAGGUGAAAGGCUGAGGCUCAACCUCAUGCAGUGCCUCUCAUACUGAUUUUCUUGAGGGCGGUAGAGAGAAGUGGAAUGGCUGGUGUAGCGGUGAAAUGCGUAGAUAUCAGUCGGAACACCGGUGGCGAAGGCGGCUUCUUGGGCCGAACCUGACGCUGAUGCGCGAAAGCCAGGGGAGCGAACG
rnacentral:rRNA from 1 species